rnacentral:rRNA from 1 species
GAUGAACGCUGGCGGCGUGCCUAAUACAUGCCAGUCGAGCGAACGGACGAGAAGCUUGCUUUUCUGAUGUUAGCGGCGGACGGGUGAGUAACACGUGGAUAACCUACCUAUAAUACUGGGAUAACUUCGGGAAACCGGAGCUAAUACCGGAUAAUAUUUUGAACCGCAUGGUUCAAAAGUGAAAGACGGUCUUGCUGUCACUUAUAGAUGGAUCCGCGCUGCAUUAGCUAGUUGGUAAGGUAACGGCUUACCAAGGCAACGAUGCAUAGCCGACCUGAGAGGGUGAUCGGCCACACUGGAACUGAGACACGGUCCAGACUCCUACGGGAGGCAGCAGUAGGGAAUCUUCCGCAAUGGGCGAAAGCCUGACGGAGCAACGCCGCGUGAGUGAUGAAGGUCUUCGGAUCGUAAAACUCUGUUAUUAGGGAAGAACAUAUGUGUAAGUAACUGUGCACAUCUUGACGGUACCUAAUCAGAAAGCCACGGCUAACUACGUG